rnacentral:rRNA from 1 species
AGAGGGUGCAAACGUUGCUCGGAAUCACUGGGCGUAAAGGGCGUGUAGGCGGACUUGCAAGUCAGGCGUGAAAUCCCUGGGCUCAACCCAGGAAUUGCACUUGAAACUGCAAGCCUUGAGUGUCGGAGAGGAAAGUGGAAUUCCUGGUGUAGAGGUGAAAUUCGUAGAUAUCAGGAGGAACACCGGUGGCGAAGGCGGCUUUCUGGACGACAACUGACGCUGAGACGCGAAAGCGUGGGGAGCAAACAGGAUUAGAUACCCUGGUAGUCCACGCUGUAAACGAUGAACACUAGGUGUCGUGGGUAUUGACCCCCGCGGUGCCGCAGCUAACGCAUUAAGUGUUCCGCCUGGGAAGUACGGUCGCAAGACUAAA